rnacentral:rRNA from 1 species
AUUGAACGCUGGCGGCAUGCCUUACACAUGCAAGUCGAACGGUAACGGGCCUUCGGGUGCCGACGAGUGGCGAACGGGUGAGUAAUACAUCGGAACGUGCCCGAUCGUGGGGGAUAACGAGGCGAAAGCCUUGCUAAUACCGCAUACGAUCUACGGAUGAAAGCAGGGGACCGCAAGGCCUUGCGCGGACGGAGCGGCCGAUGGCAGAUUAGGUAGUUGGUGGGAUAAAAGCUUACCAAGCCGACGAUCUGUAGCUGGUCUGAGAGGAUGAUCAGCCACACUGGGACUGAGACACGGCCCAGACUCCUACGGGAGGCAGCAGUGGGGAAUUUUGGACAAUGGGCGCAAGCCUGAUCCAGCCAUGCCGCGUGCAGGAUGAAGGCCUUCGGGUUGUAAACUGCUUUUGUACGGAACGAAAAGCCUUCUUUUAAUACAGGAGGGUCAUGACGGUACCGUAAGAAUAAGCACCGGUUAACUACGUG